GCGACUUAUAGUCCGGAAAAUACGGUAAAUGGCUGUUUGUUUGCUUCGUACAGAUCCUUGGUAGAACAACUGAGGAAGCUGCAGGCGAUGGUGAAAAUGUCAACAUUGAAGGCAAGCACAACCAGCACCUGUGUCAUGGUGUUCCUCCUGUCUUUCUGCCUCAUUUUCCCUUCAGUCAAUCCGUUUGGCAACACACAGAACAAAAAGAGUUCUACACCCCCUCCUCCAUCAUUUCCAGGACCUUACGCUCAGUGCCAGCAGAAAAUAUAGAUGCCCUGAGCUACAUCGACCCUGAAGAGGUCUUUGGGCCCAAGUGAGGUGGACAACGUUAAAGCCAUCUUUGCCAGUGGUCAGAAGAACCACACACCGGACUACGAGAGGGUGGAACAGCCUGACUCGGAAACGGGUGUCAACAGCAACUCUUCUGCUGAUUUCCCUAGUCCGGCUCCUGAGAUGCAACCAGGGCCAGCCGGCGGGAUUGGGCCGGUACAGGAAGGACCCGUCGAUCAAAGU